AUACGGAGGAUGCGAGCGUUAUCCGGAUUUAUUGGGUUUAAAGGGAGCGUAGGCGGGAGCUUAAGUCAGCGGUUAAAUGGUGCGGCUCAACCGUGCCCUGCCGUUGAAACUGGGUUUCUUGAGAGUGCAAGAGGCGGAUGGAAUUCAUGGUGUAGCGGUGAAAUGCUUAGAUAUCAUGAAGAACUCCGAUUGCGAAGGCAGUCCGCUGGGGCACGUCUGACGCUGAUGCUCGAAGGUGCGGGAAUCAAACAGGAUUAGAUACCCUGGUAGUCCGCACGGUAAACGAUGAUUACCCGCUGUCGGCGGUAGACAGUCGGCGGCCAAGCGAAAGCGAUAAGUAAUCCACCGGGGGAGUACGCCGGCAACGGUGAAACUCAAAGGAAUUGACGGGG
rnacentral:rRNA from 1 species